rnacentral:misc_RNA from 1 species
CCAGAGUGCCCUAGGCUCUCCAACCCAUUGUGAACAUACCUAUCGUUCCCUCGGCGGGCUCAGCGCGCGGUGCCUCCGGGCUCCGGGCGUCCGCCGGGGACAACCAAACUCUGAUUUUAUUGUGAAUCUCUGAGGGGCGAAAGCCCGAAAACAUAAUGAAUCA